rnacentral:rRNA from 1 species
UCAUGCAUUACUUCUAAAAUUUUAAAAAUAGGUAAAAACAAGCCCUAUCCCAUCUGAUCUUGGGAGCUAAGCAGGGUCGGGCCUGGUUAGUACUUGGGUGGGAGGACCACCUAGGAAGACCAGGUGCCGUAGGCA